CAAGGAAACCAAGCAGCCGCUCGCGCGAUACCGGAUGUACGCCGGGGUUGUGUGGGAGGAAAGUCCGGGCUCCACAGGGCAGGAUAGCGGGUAACGCCCGCCCGUAGUAAUACGCGGACAAGUGCGACAGAAAAAAUACCGCCGGGCGGUUUUGCCGUCCGGUAAGGAUGUAACGGCGAGGUAAGAGCUCACCGGCUCCCUGUGAGAGCGGGGAGCCCCGUAAACUCUAUUCGGAGCAACACCGACUCGGGGCAUACAGAAGCCGGCCCGGCGGUCCCCGGACAGGUGGCGUUGAGCCGUUUGGCAACAAACGGCCCAGACAGAUGGUUGCUCAGUGUCAAGCAUUCGCUUGGCGCCAGACAGAACCCGGCUUACCGGUUUGCUUGCGCU
rnacentral:RNase_P_RNA from 1 species